rnacentral:rRNA from 1 species
GUGUCAGCAGCCGCGGUAAUACAGAGGGUGCAAGCGUUAAUCGGAAUUACUGGGCGUAAAGGGUGCGUAGGUGGACGCAUAAGUCGGAUGUGAAAUCCCUGGGCUUAACCUAGGAACUGCAUUCGAUACUGUGAGUCUAGAGUAUGGUAGAGGUAAGUGGAAUUUCCGGUGUAGCGGUGAAAUGCGUAGAUAUCGGAAGGAACAUCAGUGGCGAAGGCGACUUACUGGACUGAUACUGACACUGAGGCACGAAAGCGUGGGGAGCAAACAGGAUUAGAAACCCUGGUAGUCC